rnacentral:rRNA from 1 species
ACGAACGCUGGCGGCGUGCUUAACACAUGCAAGUCGAACGGAAAGGCCCCUUUGGGGGUACUCGAGUGGCGAACGGGUGAGUAACACGUGAGUAACCUGCCCUUGACUUCGGGAUAACUUCAGGAAACUGGGGCUAAUACCGGAUAGGAAUCCUUGCUGCAUGGUGGGGGUUGGAAAGCUUCGGCGGUUUUGGAUGGACUCGCGGCUUAUCAGCUUGUUGGUGGGGUAGUGGCUUACCAAGGCUUUGACGGGUAGCCGGCCUGAGAGGGCGACCGGCCACAUUGGGACUGAGAUACGGCCCAGACUCCUACGGGAGGCAGCAGUGGGGAAUAUUGCACAAUGGGCGGAUGCCUGAUGCAGCAACGCCGCGUGCGGGAUGACGGCCUUCGGGUUGUAAACCGCUUUCAGCAGGGGCGAAGCUUGUGGUGACGGUACCUGCAGAAGAAGCACCGGCUAACUACGUG